rnacentral:sRNA from 1 species
UGAUAAUGGCUGAGAAACAAGACUGUUUGCAGUCAAUCUAAUGUUUCGAUUUUUGUACCGCUGAUC